UCUCUCUCUCUCUCUCUCUCUCUCUCGUGUUUAGGGUUCGUCGCUCCGGGAUCGCCGAUGGCGGAGGUCGUCUACGUAGGCUCCGGAGGGAACCAUGGGGCGUUCGCUACCCCGUUGCUGGUGUCUGAAGGCUCCCAAGAUCCCGAUCGGAGACCUAGAUGUAUAGAUCUCGCCGGAGAAUGAAGCAUCUUCGAUCACGGAUCCGAUCGGGGCGUUGGAGAGAAUCAAAACGCACUGAAACAACUACCUUGAGGUUCCGAUCGGCACCGAUGACAUACCUCGCUAUGAAAGUGGUUUAUAUAGAUACGGGUGGAGCAUCUAAAAGGUUUUAGGUGAAGAGGAUGGCGCACAUGGUUGCUUGGCAUCUACAGAAGUUAUUCAUCCAUUGCAGUGUUCUGCCUCAGAAUGAUAACAGUGGAAAUAAUGCUGUGUCAAUAGUAAGCUCGCCUUGGAUAUCCUUAACAACAAGGAUAAAUGCGCUCUUUCCUCUCUUGAACAUCAUGAAAAUGCAGUUUGUUAGUUUCUCC